CGGAGGGUCCAAGCGUUAUCCGGAAUCAUUGGGUUUAAAGGGUCCGUAGGCGGCCAAAUAAGUCAGUGGUGAAAGCCCAUCGCUCAACGAUGGAACGGCCAUUGAUACUGUUUGGCUUGAAUUAUUAGGAAGUAACUAGAAUAUGUAGUGUAGCGGUGAAAUGCUUAGAGAUUACAUGGAAUACCAAUUGCGAAGGCAGGUUACUACUAAUAUAUUGACGCUGAUGGACGAAAGCGUGGGGAGCGAACAGGAUU
rnacentral:rRNA from 1 species